UCUUGUUCCAGCCCUGGUGAGCUCUGUGCCUGACUCCCUUGCCAGGACCAGCCUGUGGGGACAUGAGCCUGCUGCAGGCCAGUGACAUCCAGUGGGGCUUUGCUGAGCAGCCUUGGAAGUUGGGGCAGGGCCAUGGAAGCUGUUGGCACCUCUCUGCCACCAUGGUGCCCAGAGGCACCACCUGCUUGAGUAAAGAUUGUCUUGGCCUCACGUCCUGGACAGAAGAGGCAGAAAAUCACCAGUGGGCACCUGCUGGGUGCUGUGUGCUCUCCCUGCCUGGUGUCCCCAGAUGCCCACAUCAGUGCAAGAGGCGGCCCUUUUUACCUGUGCUGCAGGCUGGUGGAAUCCGAGCACGCUCAGACGGAGGUGCCUCAGCUGAGGCUGGUGGAGAUCACUGCAGGAGUGACCCUGGGGCCCCAGGCUCUCCCUCCCGCUGAAUGCAUGUUGCAGGGGUCUCUGGGUCUGGCUUUGCUCACUGUGUCCUUUCUCUUUCCUCCCCAGCACCACUGCCAUCGUCACCCUGACAGGCUGAAGAACUCCUUCCCUCCCCCAGGACUGCAACGGUUCCAGGUCAUAACAGAGAAUGUCAGUGGCACAGGCAACCUGCCACAGGUCACAGCUGUCACUCCAGAGGGGAGCACUGGUUUGGAGAGGGACAGAGCUGGGGUCCACUCCUUCCUGGUGGUAUGACCUGGCUUGGGGCUGAGGAUACAGAAACAGAAGACCUCCCCACUGGAACCUGUUGUCCAGAGGAGCCAGCACACGAGGCAGAGCCAGAUGGUAGUUCCCAGCCGCUGCAUUGCGUGUCUCUGGGAACACCCUGACCUCUUCGCUGUGGUUUCCCCUCCUAUCCAGCACAACCAUGGGCUUGUGGGUGCCCCAAGGCCAUCAUGAAGUGGAGGAUGAAGAAGACAGUGUAAGCCCAGAGCGGGGUACUGUGCCUGGCCACGAGCUCUGUGGGGGCUGCUGCCAUCAGGACUGUGACCGCCCUGACGAUCUGCUCUGCCCCGAUAUUUUGGGUAUCACCUUUGUGUUUCACCAUGACCCUCACAUGGAGCUUGCAGAAGGGAAAACUGAGGCCUGGGCUGGGAGAUGUCAUGCUUGAGCUCGUAUUUCCAGAAGUCAGGCUGGGUUGGAAGCUGGUUCUGUCCACCACACCCCACUGGCUUCACUGAACCAUCUGCCCAGCUGAACAGAGCCCUGGGGGCAGACGGGCCUUCCAGGAGCAGAGCUGAGGGCCUGCUGGGAUUCCAGGGGUGGGUGGGUUGGGGUCUCCCCUGGCAUACCAUCCCCCAUCUUCUCCCCAUGGCUCUGUGCACGGUGACUGCCCGGGCCUGCCUUCCCCUCGUCCCUCAUAGCUUACAUUCCUCUGGAAGUUUCUCCCUGGCUGACAGAGGGUCAGGCCUCGGCGUGCAUAAGCGCGUAGCCCUCCCCACCCCGGGGCUUGGCAGUGGGUUUCCAGGCUCCCUCGGCUCCUUGGUCUGUCCUUGGCCCUCCUGGUCCAUCCUUAGGCCUCCCCAGGUGCCUGCAUCCAAGUUGCUCAGCUGGAACAACACUGAUCCUGGAGACAGAGGCCCGAGUUAGGGCACGGAGCACAAGAGGAAAGUAGGUGGGCAUGAGAAAGGGGCAGGAGCUAACACCCAGGGCUGUCUGUCCCCAGUUAGGAAGGUCACCGCUUAAUUGACAGUCCUUGGUAAGCCUUGGUUCUCCUCAUUUGAAAAAUGAUAGCAUAAACAUCUGCCUCUCAGAAUCAUGAGCAUUCCAUGAGACUGUAAGAUACUCAUGUGAUGUCUCCCAAGAGGACUGAACAAUGUCAAAAACCGGGCGUGGUGGCUCACCCCUGUGAUCCCAGCACUCAGGAGGCAGAGGCAGGAGGAUCAUUAUGAGUUCAAGACCUUUCUGGGCUACAGAGUGAGUUCAAGGCCAGACUAAAUGGCAUAGUGAGAUCCUUCUCAAAAAGACAAAAAACAAGACAACAACAAAAAAUUAUGUGUCUAGAUUACAGUGAGAGUUUUCCAGGAGCACAGGGACACCAGAGAGGCCUCCCAGCAGAGGGAAUGGCUUGUGCAGAGCCCAGGAGGUUGGACGCGCAGGAGGAGCAGGAGGCUCCAUGGACCAGCACUGCCAGGGCCAUCUCAAAGCUGCAGGCGCAUCACCAGCUAACGCUUAGCAAGACCGUGCCAUGAGCUACACUGUCCCUCGUCACGCACCGCCGCCACCAUGUCUUCUCCACACCAGUGAGGUUGGCACUGUCAUUAUCCCUAUUUCACAUUUGUGGAAACUGAGGCACAACAGAGAUGAAGUCAUUUGCCCAAAGUCGCACAGUGAGCAGCAGAAGCAGGAAGUGAUCCUGGGAAGGGUCUGGGUGACAGUGUGGCAGACGGGGGUCUUGACCUUUCCCAUGUCCUCUUCUCCCCCUAACAGAGGCUGGGCCUGACCUUUGGCAUCGCGGGGCAGAAGGAGCCACAGAGGUGGCCUAAGUGUUCCCCCGCUGCAACCCUGUGCUUGUCUCAUGGCUGGGAGAGCAGGGGUCUAGGACCCUGCCAGGGCGGGGCCAGCUGCAGUGGCUGGUACCUGGCUGCCUGCAGUGGCCCUGGAUGUCCACUGCUCAGAGGGUGCCCUCUGGAGGGUGCCGGCAGAGGCAGCUCGGAAGCCCACCUGCCAGUGCGCGUUGGCAGCCUCCUGGGGCCGCAGAGCUGCUGCGCAGGGCGGGUUUGUAAGUACACGUGUCUUUGGCUCCUUCUCCUCAUUAAGCCACGUAAUGGUUUUGCCCCGCACACAUUUGCCACGGCCCAGCUGGGGGGCUUUCAGGGGAAGGCCCGAGCCCUUCUGGGACCAUGUCCUCCUUCCCCAGGUUCUGGGCAUGGGGACCCAGUGGCGUCUCAGCCCUACUGGGAGCCCUAAUGUGUGCACAGCAGGUCCAGUCUGAGAGGAGUGGUGGGUGGAGGUUCGGACCUGGGCCAGAAGUUCACCCGGCCUAGGAGCUGUGGUCCUGGGGUUCCUCAGUGAGGAAGCCACGUGCAGCUCCCCACAGGGUGCUGAGAGGACUGAAUCGGGCUCAUGUCCACACUCCAGGGCAGUGUGGACACACAAGACAGUGGACUCUCUUCCGUCUUGCAGAUUCAUUAACCGAGGCGUGGAGAGAAGCCCCUGCCUGCGCCUCCUUCUGCCCUGGGUCACAGACCUCUCUCAUAGUCACGGGUCUCAAAGUGGGAAGGAGAAAUAGAAGGAGGGGAAUCUUCCUUGUUUAAAAUCAGCAAGCACGGAACUAGCCUCUUCUCUAAGCUUAUAAACAGUGCUGUGUGUGGCUGUGGAAGUCAGGGCAGCACAGAGGCUCAGAGAGGGUAAGUGGCAUGCUCCUGGUCACACAGCGGGGACGGACUAGUCCUAUAGGUCAGGGGAGACCGAUAUCCUGGCCUUUCUGGGAGGUUGGGACAGGUAUCAUUGCCUCUUUGGGCUCAGGCUCUUUGGAGUUGGCAGGCAGAGAUUAGAAGGAAGCCUGUGGGAGGCGAUGGUGGACAGAACUCAGAGGAGCUGGAGGUCCUGUUGGAGCGGGAUGGAUGCUGUGACCCUCCUGGCCCAGCCCAGGCACAGCUGUAGCCACCUGCACCCGGCUCUGGACAGGUGCCCUCAGACACUAAUGCACACGUAUGAUGUCACGCAUGCCCAGACCCCAGCCACAGGCGUGGUGCUUUCAGACAGACUCCUGUGCCCAUGUGCCCAUGUGAAUGCCCAUGUGUGCACCGUGGUGAACAUACGAUUUCCCUUCUGCACCCCUGCACAGUACACCACUUGGUGGCUGGAGGUUUGCCCUUUUCCAUGCCCUGACCCCUAAGAUUUCCAGGGAAAUAAUCAAAACAUGACAGAGGAAGGAAAGACACUGAGCGACGUGUCAAAAGAGAAGAGACUUUUGGAAUGUCUUUGUGAUUGCAAGUCAGUGCUCGAUUUAGCCUUUGAUUUUCCUGGAGGCCCAGGUAACAAAGGAUCGUUGGGAUUUUUUACCCGCCCUUCACUGCUAGCACUGUGACAAGAACCAUGGAAGCUCUUGGAUAAGAAAGCCACCUGGGACCUGGAGACCUAUAUCAAAACAGCGUGACCGUGCUGAGCGUUCACGAUGUCUACUGUCGCUGCUGGGACUUGGGCUGAUGGGCCACAGUGCUGAAGUCCUCUUCUUCGUUUCUCACCCCAGACAGGGAGCUCCAGGCCUCUGUCUGAGCUGUGCCCCUGGCCUGGAGCACCCCGCCCACCACUCUGUGCCCUUUCUUUCAGGAAUCCUCCCUGAGCCACCCCAGCCUUCUUGGGGCUCCUGGAUUGUCUACACACACAGUGCUCCUUCCUGCCAGAGGCCCCAAGGGCAAGGGUGGGGGCUGUUGGUUUUGGCAGCCUCAGUGCCUGGCCCAGGCCUUGGCAUGGAGUUAGUGCCUAGAAGGGGUUUGCUGAAUGAAUACCUGUCGUUAAGAGGCCCACGCCCUGUCCUCCCCUCUGCACCUGUCCCCGGCAGGCAGAGCACCUGGAGUUCUGGUGUGUUGCCUCCCCGGGAGCUCCGGCUUCUCCAGGCCUGCCCUUGCCCGCCCAGGAGGGUGGGGCUUAACUCCCAGGUGUCUCCAACCUCAUGGAGCUGUCAAGAGUGGGAGAGGGCUGGAGGCCAGAACUCUCUGGUGCCUUGGCUUGUAGGGAUUGGCCAAGCAGGACUAGAGUAGAGGGAGAGCUUCUGACCAGAGCCUCUUUGGUAGUCAUUUCUUCACACUCCUUCUCUCCUGCACCUGGCCUUCCCACCUGUCGGUGUUCCAUAGCAGCUCCUUUGGUGGGAGCUAGUCUGUCCCCAUUGCACAGAUGUGGAAACUGAGGCUCAGAGGGUUUUGUUUCCCAGGUUUCUCAGCUUAGAAGACGAGGCCAGGGAGUGGACUCUACACUCUGAAUGCUCACAGCCCAAGCACAGGAGGAAAAAAUGGAGGAGGUGGUUUGGCAUAUCUAAAAGGUGACAGCCACUUGGGAGGAGCAGAGGACACUGAGUGUGCACCCUCGCUGUACACCUGUGGUCACACUUACACCACCUGCAUGCACACUCAUCGGGGUCCACUGUGGCUCCUGCACUCAGGUGGUACAGUGAAGCCUUGGCCCCACCGUGCUCUGGACUGCAAGCCCACGCGCCACUCACGGGUGCCACCCGCACACAGGACACACCGAACCUGCACCUCUCCUUGUCACCCUUCUGCACCCCGUCCUGUGCUAUCCACGGAACCCAGUGCUCACACACCGGUGCACAUUGCUGCACACCCUGCACACAGCUGCCUCCCGUCCGCAGCCACACACCCUCUCACACCUGGAAAUCCCUGGCUCCAGUCGCCACCCUCCAGGGGAUGGCCUCGUCGGGCACUGGCUGCUCCUGCCAGCUCUGGGAGCAGGUGUUCCCAGCCGCUCAGGCUUGCCUCGGGGUGGGGCGCGGCCCUGACCUGGGGUACAGGGCCAGGAAGUGCUGUGGGUGCGAGGCCAGGAUGCUCACACCUGUGCAGACCUGCCUGGGGUGGGUGCCAGCAUGGUGGCCACUCCCUCUACCCUGCAGCCUAGCGUAAGGCAGCCGCUGGCAGGUGGGGACACCGAUCUCAUGUUCCUGGAGUGUCAGGGAAACCCGAAGUGGGGCUUGGCAGGCAGGCCUGGGCCAGGCUGCUCUCUGAUUCAAAGCUCUGACUUUUCUCCGGUGGCAGGCUCUGCAUCUCAGCCCUCCCCUCUGUAAAAUGGGUAUACAUGCAGCCCCCCUGCAGGACUGGAGGGAGGCUUAGGCAGACGUGAGUCCCAUAUUUAGGAUUCUAGUAAGACAGGGACUUCGAGGGCUGUGGCUUUCCUGCAGCACCCCUCCUCCUGCCUACUUGCUGUACUUGUAAAUACCUUGAUUGAAUGAUAAUUCAUAAUCGA